ACKGCUCAGUAACACGUGGCUAACCCACCCUCGGGACGGAGACAACCCCGGGAAACUGGGACUAAUACCCGAUAGGCGAAGACUCCUGGAACGGGUCUUCACCCAAAAGGUGUUGGGAUCAUGCUUCUUAGCAUCGCCCGAGGACGGGGCCGCGGCCGAUCAGGUAGUUGGCGAGGCAACGGCUCACCAAGCCUAUAACCGGUACGGGCCGUGGGAGCGGGAGCCCGGAGAUGGGCACUGAGACAAGGGCCCAGGCCCUACGGGGCGCAGCAGUUGCGAAAACUCUGCAAUGCACGAAAGUGUGACAGGGCUACCCCGAGUGCCGUCCGCUGAGGAUGGCUUUUCUCUGCUGUAAGGAGGCGGAGGAAUAAGGAGAGGGCAAGUCUGGUGUCAGCCGCCGCGGUAAUACCAGCUCUCCGAGUGGUGGGGAUGAUUAUUGGGCUUAAAGCGUCCGUAGCCGGCCUUUCAAGUCUCUCGUUAAAUCCAGCGAUUCAAUCGUUGGACUGCGGGAGAUACUGUGAGGCUAGGGGGUGGGAGAAGCCGACGGUAUUUCCGGUGUAGGGGUAAAAUCCCAUAAUCCCGGGAAGACCACCAGUGGCGUAGGCGGUCGGCUAGCACACGCUCGACGGUGAGGGACGAAAGCUGGGGGAGCGAACCGGAUUAGAUACCCGGGUAGUCCCAGCUGUAAACGAUGCUGGCUAGGUGUUGGAGCGGCUACGAGCCGCUUCAGUGCCGCAGGGAAGCCAUUAAGCCAGCCGCCUGGGGAGUACGGCCGCAAGGCUGAAACUUAAAGGAAUUGGCGGGGGAGCAC
rnacentral:rRNA from 1 species